rnacentral:rRNA from 1 species
GACGAACGCUGGCGGCGUGCUUAACACAUGCAAGUCGAGCGGUAAGGCCCUUUCGGGGGUACACGAGCGGCGAACGGGUGAGUAACACGUGGGUGACCUGCCCUCAGCUCUGGGAUAAGCCUGGGAAACCGGGUCUAAUACCGGAUAUGACUCCAUGACGCAUGUUGUGGGGUGAAAGCCUUGUGCGGCUGAGGAUGGGCCCGCGGCCUAUCAGCUCGUUGGUGGGGUGAUGGCCUACCAAGGCGACGACGGGUAGCCGGCCUGAGAGGGCGACCGGCCACACUGGGGACUGAGACACGGCCCAGACUCCUACGGGAGGCAGCAGUGGGGAAUCUUGCGCAAUGGGCGAAGGCCUGACGCAGCGACGCCGCGUGAGGGAUGACGGCCUGGUG